GAGAUAAAGAAGCCCAACAUUGGUCCAUCAGUGUUCUGUGGAGUUGGUCUGGCUCUUGGGCUGCUGGGUCUCGCCAUUGGAGUCUUUUUUAUUGUCAAAGGAAAUUAAUACAAUAACACUGACAACUGUAGAUGCUCUUUUUUUUAGUUCUCAUGUAAAGUUGCAUAUGUGCUACAUAAGUUACUUGUUAAUUUUGUUAAUUUAUGUUUUCAAGACUAUAUAUGUAAUAUGCAAUACACAGCAGGUGAUAUGUAACACCUGAAAUAAAGUCUUCAUAAGACAUUAUAUAAUAUUCAGCUGUUGCAUAUGUUAUGGUGACUUUUAAUGGUUUAUGGUCAUGGUUUAAAGUAAGUUAUUUCUAUCUUUUGCUGUAGUGUGUCAGUAAAAAAUAUUGGUUAACAUUUCCAAACAUUCUGUUUGCCAUUAAUUGUAAUAAUCUAGUGAGAUUUUUGUUUGCACAAGGAGUCUGACAACAGCCAGUGCUCCACACAGACAUCUGAUCUCACCUUCAUCCAGUCUGUCUCUGUAAUGACAUGAAGAAACAGAAAAAGUGAGACUAAAUCCGGAAGAACUGUGGCAACAUCUCCAAGAUGUUUCAAGUCCAUCUCUUUCAGAGUCUGACAGGAAUAAGCUUAUAACAGGUGCUGCAGGUCUGGUGUUGGGGCUGAUUAUGGCAGUAGGAGGACUGAUUUACUGUAAACGAAAACACACAGCACUCAUCAUAUCAGCUGGAAGUCAACAACUUGCAUGCUCUGAACCUCUGCAGACACUCAGCAAUGCUGAAGAGUAGUAGAUGAACAGUGAAUAACAGACUGUAUCAGCAUAUGAAAGACACUGAAACCUUCCAUAAGAUCUGCAGUGACAAAAAUGUUUACCAAAAAGAACCAGUUCAACUGCAAGUUUUAUUGAUCAAAUUCAGUUUAACUAUAAAUUAACUAACUGAUCAAUUUCAGCUUAUUAACUGCAAGUGAUUGCAAGAUCAAAGAGAGAGAAGUUUUCCUCUGUGGUUUGUUCUAAUUGCACAUAUUCCUUUUUGUAAAGGUUAAUGAAAAUGAAUCUACAUUUGUAUGUUAAUUCAUCAUCUAUUUAUUCAGUCUAGGGUGCGUGCUCUGUCAUAGACAUCUCAGUGAAAGUAAAUCAACAUAUUAUUAUUAUUAUUAUUAGGGAUGCAUGGCAUUGGAUUUUUUCUUCUCUUUUUUUUUCAGAAAAAAUGCAGUGGUAACCUUAAUAUUUUAUUUUAAGAUUUAACAUUUGUAGAUGGUCUAAAGCAAAAGAGUUGUACAAAUUCAGAAAAUCUUUUAGAGCUCAUAAUUUAUUUUAAAAUAUAUAACUUAUAUUACACAUUAUUGGAUA